AUCUCAAGUAGAGGGAGGGCCUGGGUUUCUUUACCAGCCACUGAGAAAGCUGGGGUGAAACCCCCAGUAGUAAGGAGUGUAAGGACUAUGGAGCCCAGAGAAAAGAUGGCAGACCUGAUGUAAGGUCAUUUGGCUACAGCUGGGUUGGACUCUUGAUUACCCUGGAAAGGAUGCACUAAAGUGUGACCUGACUGGGGGGCCAACCUGCAGGAGAAGAGACCACUGCAGUGACUGUUGGCGGGGGUCAUGGUACAGGGAGACCCAUGCUAUGCCUGGCAAUGAGGAGGUGCUUCUGUGGAAUUCAGCAUUCAAUGCAGCUGCCUGGCUGGACCUUCAGUACGAACACGGGCAAAUGGGGAUCUGCACCAACUGCGAUAAUAAAGGAGUAGAAGAGAAAUACCAAAACCAUGUGAUACAGAAGCACGACUGUUUCCAAGAGCCUCUUUAAUACUGAAGAUCCCAACAGAGCUCCUACUUUUGACUUUGGGUUUGCUAAAGGAAACCCUGGAGACAAGGAGUUCUGUCUCCCUUCCCUUCAGAGGACAGCAGCCAAGCUCUCUGUUGGUAAAAAUAUUUCACAGUUUUCAUUUUUUUUAUCUUCUCUUCAGUGCUUUGUUCUUUGUUCCUUCCUUGCCCUCCCUCCCUCUUUCUCUACGUAGCAAGCCCCAGGGCAGUUUUCAUUGCACUCCAUGGUUUUAUCAGCACACACAGAGACUUGACAAACAGAAUAAGGACUUCCAUGUCCAACAAUUACAUCUUGUGUUUAAGUGUCAAACGUAGAAAUGCCUUGGUUGGGUUGCUAAGGAAGGAGGGAAGCUGAGUCUUCUAAUGGUUCUCUGCUAGUUUGUAUCCAGCUAAGGAUCUGACUCAGGGUCUCUAGCUUUGGGUUGCAAGUUGCCGGUGUGGCUGUCUCACCAUCAUAUUAUCCCCACACCACAUCAAUGCUAAUAGACCUUUUAGGAUUAUAUGGGAUUUCGUGUAAACAGACAGUUGAUCAGAUUCCCAUCUAGGGGAUAUCAGCAGAGCUGCACUGAAGCAAAUGAUGAUGACGUCGGGGAUCAAUGGAGCUAUGCCGAUUUACAGCGGCUGAGGAUCCAACCCAGUGUUUCAAAUAGAAAUGUUCAAAGUUGAUGUUUGUUAAAA